rnacentral:rRNA from 1 species
AUUGAACGCUGGCGGCAGGCCUAACACAUGCAAGUCGGACGGUAGCACAGGGGAGCUUGCUCCUCGGGUGACGAGUGGCGGACGGGUGAGUAAUGUCUGGGGAUCUGCCCGAUAGAGGGGGAUAACCACUGGAAACGGUGGCUAAUACCGCAUAACGUCGCAAGACCAAAGAGGGGGACCUUCGGGCCUCUCACUAUCGGAUGAACCCAGAUGGGAUUAGCUAGUAGGCGGGGUAACGGCCCACCUAGGCGACGAUCCCUAGCUGGUCUGAGAGGAUGACCAGCCACACUGGAACUGAGACACGGUCCAGACGCCUACGGGAGGCAGCAGUGGGGAAUAUUGCACAAUGGGCGCAAGCCUGAUGCAGCCAUGCCGCGUGUAUGAAGAAGGCCUUCGGGUUGUAAAGUACUUUCAGCGGGGAGGAAGGCGAUGUGGUUAAUAACCGCGUCGAUUGACGUUACCCGCAGAAGAAGCACCGGCUAACUCCGUGCCAGCCGCCGCGGUAA